rnacentral:rRNA from 1 species
GAUGAACGCUGGCGGCGUGCCUAAUACAUGCAAGUCGAGCGAACAGACGAGGAGCUUGCUCCUCUGACGUUAGCGGCGGACGGGUGAGUAACACGUGGAUAACCUACCUAUAAGACUGGGAUAACUUCGGGAAACCGGAGCUAAUACCGGAUAACAUGUUGAACCGCAUGGUUCAACAGUGAAAGACGGUCUUGCUGUCACUUAUAGAUGGAUCCGCGCCGCAUUAGCUAGUUGGUAAGGUAACGGCUUACCAAGGCAACGAUGCGUAGCCGACCUGAGAGGGUGAUCGGCCACCCUGGAACUGAGACACGGUCCAGACUCCUACUGGAGGCAGCAGUAGGGAAUCUUCCGGAAUGGGCGAAAGCCUGACGGAGCAACGCCGCGUGAGUGAAGAAGGUCUUCGGAUCGUAAAACUCUGUUAUUAGGGAAGAACAAAUGUGUAAGUAACUAGGCACGUCUUGACGGUACCUAAUCAGAAAGCCACGGCUAACUACGUG